AUUGAACGCUGGCGGCAUGCCUUACACAUGCAAGUCGAACGGCAGCAUGAUCUAGCUUGCUAGAUUGAUGGCGAGUGGCGAACGGGUGAGUAAUACAUCGGAACCUGCCCUGUAGUGGGGGAUAACUAGUCGAAAGAUUAGCUAAUACCGCAUACGACCUGAGGGUGAAAGUGGGGGACCGCAAGGCCUCAUGCUAUAGGAGCGGCCGAUGUCUGAUUAGCUAGUUGGUGAGGUAAAGGCUCACCAAGGCGACGAUCAGUAGCUGGUAUGAGAGGACGAUCAGCCACCCUGGGACUGAGGCACGGCCGACACUCCUACGGGGGGCAGCAGUGGGGAAUUUUGGGCGAUGGGGGAAAGCCUGAUCCAGCAAUGCCGCGUGUGUGAAGACGGCCUUCGGGUUGUAAAACACUUUUGUCCGGAAAGAAAUGGCUCUGGUUAAGACCUGGGGUCGAUGACGGUACCGGAAGAAUAAGAACCGGCUAACUACGUG
rnacentral:rRNA from 1 species